AGCGAACGCUGGCGGCAGGCCUAACACAUGCAAGUCGAACGAACUCUUCGGAGUUAGUGGCGGACGGGUGAGUAACACGUGGGAACGUGCCUUUUGGUUCGGAAUAACUCAGGGAAACUUGUGCUAAUACCGAAUGUGCCCUUCGGGGGAAAGAUUUAUCGCCAUUAGGGCGGCCCGCGUCUGAUUAGCUAGUUGGUGAGGUAACGGCUCACCACGGCGACGAUCAGUAGCUGGUCUGAGAGGAUGACCAGCCACACUGGGACUGAGACACGGCCCAGACUCCUACGGGAGGCAGCAGUGGGGAAUCUUGCGAAAUGGGCGAAAGGCUGACGCAGCCAUGCCGCGUGAAUGAUGAAGGUCUUAGGAUUGUAAAAUUCUUUCACCGGGGACGAUAAUGACGGUACCCGGAGAAGAAGCCCCGGCUAACUUCGUG
rnacentral:rRNA from 1 species